rnacentral:rRNA from 1 species
GACGAACGCUGGCGGCGUGCUUAACACAUGCAAGUCGAACGGAAAGGCCCUGCUUUUGUGGGGUGCUCGAGUGGCGAACGGGUGAGUAACACGUGAGUAACCUGCCCUUGACUUUGGGAUAACUUCAGGAAACUGGGGCUAAUACCGGAUAGGAGAUCCUGCUGCAUGGUGGGGGUUGGAAAGUUUCGGCGGUUGGGGAUGGACUCGCGGCUGACCAGCUAGUUGGUGGGGGAGUGGCUUACCAAGGCUUUGACGGGUAGCCGGCCUGAGAGGGUGGCCGGCGACAUGAGGACUACGGUAGGGCCCAGACGCGUACAGGGGGCAGAAGUGGGAAAUCUUGCACAGUGGGCGGAAGCCUGAUGCAGAAACGCUGCGUGCGGGAUGCCGGCCUUCGGGUUGUAAACAGCUUUCGCCUGUGACGACGCGUGAGUGACGGUAAUGGGUAAAGAAGCACCGGCUAACUACGUG